GUAGGGAAUAUUGGACAAUGGGGGCAACCCUGAUCCAGCGACGCCGCGUGAGUGAUGAAGGCCUUCGGGUCGUAAAGCUCUGUUGCAGGGGAAGAACACAAUGACGGUACCCUGCUAGAAAGGAUCGGCUAACUUCGUGCCAGCAGCCGCGGUAAGACGAGGGAUCCUAGCGUUGUUCGGAAUUAUCGGGCGUAAAGCGGGUGCAGGUGGCUUGGUAAGUCAGAUGUGAAAGCCUGGGGCUUAACCCCAGAAGUGCAUUUGAUACUGCUGAGCUUGAGUGCUGGAGAGGCUAUUAGAAUUCCUGGUGUAGUGGUGAAAUACGUAGAUAUCAGGAGGAAUACCGGAGGCGAAGGCGGAUAGCUGGCCAGACACUGACACUCAGACCCGAAAGCGUGGGGAUCAAACAGGAUUAGAUACCCUGGUAGUCC
rnacentral:rRNA from 1 species